rnacentral:lncRNA from 1 species
AUUCUUCUUCUUCUUUCUCCUCCAACAGGACUCCUGCUGAUACUUCUCCUGGAUGAUCGAAUCGGACUCCUGCUCACACUCUUCCUAGAUGAUCGGAUUGGACUCCUGCUCACUGAUCUCCUAGGUGAUCUUAUAGGACUCCUGCUUACUGAUCUCCUAGGUGAUAUAGAGGGACUCCUGCUCAGGCUUCUUCUAGAAGACCGAACUGGACUUCUGCUAGGUGAUCUUCUUGCUCUUCUAAGUGAGCCUCUUCCAAGGCUUCCCCGAGAUGCUGAUCUUACAGG